rnacentral:rRNA from 1 species
UGCCCUGAGGGGGAAAGCAGGGGACCAGUAAUGGCCUUGCGUUGUCGGAGCGGCCGAUAUCGGAUUAGCUAGUUGGUGAGGUAAAGGCUCACCAAGGCGACGAUCCGUAGCAGGUCUGAGAGGAUGAUCUGCCACACUGGGACUGAGACACGGCCCAGACUCCUACGGGAGGCAGCAGUGGGGAAUAUUGCUCAAUGGAGGAAACUCUGAAGCAGCAACGCCGCGUGGAGGAUGAAGGUCUUCGGAUUGUAAACUCCUUUUAUCGGGGAAGA